rnacentral:rRNA from 1 species
UGAGGAAUAUUGGUCAAUGGGCGAGAGCCUGAACCAGCCAAGUAGCGUGCAGGAUGACGGCCCUAUGGGUUGUAAACUGCUUUUAUUUGGGGAUAAAGUGCGUGACGUGUCAUGCAUUGCAGGUACCACAUGAAUAAGGACCGGCUACUUCCGUGCCAGCAGCCGCGGUAAUACGGAAGGUCCGGGCGUUAUCCGGAUCUAUGGGGUUUAAAGGGAGCGUAGGCUGUCUAUUAAGCGUGUUGUGAAAUAUACCGGCUCAACCGGUGGCUUGCAGCGCGAACUGGUCGACUUGAGUAUGCAGGAAGUAGGAGGAAUGCAUGGUGUAGCGGUGAAAUGCUUAGAUAUCAUGACGAACACCGAUUGCGCAGGCAGCUAACUGUAGCAUAACUGACGCUGAUGCUCGAAAGUGCGGGUAUCAAACAGG